UACGUAGGGGGCAAGCGUUGUUCGGAAUUACUGGGCGUAAAGGGCGCGUAGGCGGCACGGCAAGUCAGGAGUGAAAGCCCUGGGCUCAACCCGGGAACUGCUUUUGAAACUGCCGAGCUAGAGUGCGGAAGGGGCAACUGGAAUUCCCAGUGUAGCGGUGAAAUGCGUAGAUAUUGGGAAGAACACCUGAGGCGAAGGCAGGUUGCUGGGACGACACUGACGCUGAUGCGCGAAAGCGAGGGGAGCAAACGGG
rnacentral:rRNA from 1 species